rnacentral:rRNA from 1 species
UACGGGGGUGGCGAGCGUUACUCGGAUUUAUUGGGUGUAAAGGGCAGGUAGGUGGCUAUGUAAGUUGGAGGUGAAAUCCUAAGGCUCAACCUUAGAACUGCCUUCAAAACUACAUAGCUUGAGGCUAAUAGAGGAGAGCGGAAUUCCCGGUGUAAGGGUGAAAUCUGUAGAUAUCGGGAGGAACACCAGUGGCGAAAGCGGCUCUCUGGCUUAGUCCUGACACUGAGCUGCGAAAGCUAGGGGAGCAAACAGG